UGCGUAAUAGCUCACUGGUCGAGAGGCCCUGCGCCGAAAAUAUCCGGGGCUCAAGCACAGAACCGAAGCCGCGGCAGGGUGUACUACGGUACACACUGGGUAGGGGAGCGUUCUUAUCUGGACGAAGGCAGACCGGAAGGACUGCUGGACGGGUAAGAAGUGAGAAUGCCGGUAUGAGUAGCGAAACGACAGGUGAGAAUCCUGUCCACCGAAAGCCUAAGGAAUCCCGGGCAACGCUCGUCGUCCCGGGGUAAGUCGGGACCUAAGCCGAGGCGAAAAGCAUAGGCGAUGGACAACUGGCGAAAAUUCCAGUACCGGGCGACUUCGUUUGAGGAUGGAGUGACGCAGGAAGGAAGCUGAGCGCGCGACUGGUAGAGCGCGUCGAAGGCGGUAGGCUGGUAUGGAGGCAAAUCCCCAUACCGUAAAGGCCGAGAACCGAUAGAUAGGAAGGGCUACGGCCCGACUGAAUUCAGCCGCACUAAACUGCCAAGAAAAGCUUCUAACGAGAAGUCGUCCGCCCGUACCAAAACCGACACAGGUAGGCGGGGAGAGAAUCCUAAGGUGCGCGGGAAAACCCUCGUUAAGGAACUCGGCAAAAUGCAUCCGUAACUUCGGGAAAAGGAUGGCCGUUGAUGGUGAAGGUGUUUACCACCGGAGCUGUUGACGGCGGCAGAAAAGAGGCCCAAGCGACUGUUUACCACAAACACAGGUGCCUGCGAAAGCGCAAGCUGAAGUAUAGGUGCUGACGCCUGCCCGGUGCAGGAAGGUUAAGGAGAGUUGUUAGUCCUAGAGAUGAAGCAGCGAACUGAAGCCCCUGUAAACGGCGGCCGUAACUAUAACGGUCCUAAGGUAGCGAAAUUCCUUGUCGGGUAAGUUCCGACCCGCACGAAAGGCGUAACGAUUUGGGCACUGUCUCAACGAGGGACCCGGUGAAAUUGAAAUACCUGUGAAGAUGCAGGUUACCCGCGACUGGACAGAAAGACCCCAUGGAGCUUUACUGCAGCUUGGCAUUGGUCUUUGGCAUAUAACGUACAGGAUAGCCGGGAGACUGGGAAACCUUAUCGCUAGAUGAGGUGGAGUCACCGUUGGGAUACCGGCCUUUAUAUGCUAAGGAUCUAACCGGAACAUUAACAGUGUUCGGGACAGUACCAGGCGGGCAGUUUGACUGGGGCGGUCGCCUCCGAAAGAGCAACGGAGGCGUCCAAAGGUUCCCUCAGCGCGGACAGAAAUCGCGCGAAGAGCAUAAAGGCAGAAGGGAGCUUGACUGCGAGACUGACGGGUCGAGCAGGUACGAAAGUAGGGCUUAGUGAUCCGGUGGAAAGAGAGUGGAAUUGCCAUCGCUCAACGGAUAAAAGCUACCCUGGGGAUAACAGGCUAAUCUCUCCCAAGAGUCCAUAUCGACGGGGAGGUUUGGCACCUCGAUGUCGGCUCAUCACAUCCUGGGGCUGAAGCAGGUCCCAAGGGUUGGGCUGUUCGCCCAUUAAAGUGGUACGUGAGCUGGGUUCAGAACGUCGUGAGACAGUUCGGUCCAUAUCCAUCGCGGGCGUAAGAUACAUGAGGGAGGCUGCUCCUAGUACGAGAGGACCGGAGUGGACGGACCAACGGUGUACCGGUUGUCCUGCCAAGGGCACGGCCGGGUAGCUGCGUCCGGAAGGGAUAAACGCUGAAAGCAUCUAAGCGUGAAGCCCGUCCCGAGAUGAAGUAUCUCAUUCCUAUAAGGAAGUAAGACCCCUUGAAGAAGACAAGGUUGAUAGGCUGGAUGUGGAAGCACAGCAAUGUGUGCAGCUGACCAGCACUAAUCGGUCGAGGGCUUGACUUA
rnacentral:rRNA from 1 species